rnacentral:rRNA from 1 species
UACCUGGUUGAUCCUGCCAGUAGUCAUAUGCUUGUCUCAAAGAUUAAGCCAUGCAUGUCUAAGUACGAACUUUAGCACAGUGAAACUGCGAAUGGCUCAUUAAGGCCACCCAUGAUUUCUUAGAUCGUACAAUCCUACUUGGAUAACUGUGGUAAUUCUAGAGCUAAUACAUGCAUUUAAGCUCCGACCUUUACGGGAAGAGCGCGUUUAUUAAGAUCAAAACCAAUCGGGUCUUACGAACCCGCCUUGUUGGUGACUCUGGAUAACCUUGAUGCAUGAUGCGCAGUGGCCUCGGGCCGGCGACGGACUCUGGAUAACCUCGAGCUGAUCGAUUGGCCCUUGCCCCGCGGAUCUUUCAAGUGUGUGCCCUAUCAACUUUCGAUGGUACGUGACUUGCCUACCAUGGUUGUUAACGGGUAACGGGGAAUCAGGGUUCGAUUCCGGAGAGGGAGCCUGAGAAACGGCUACCACAUCCAAGGAAGGCAGCAGGCGCGCAAAUUACCCACUCCUAACGCAGGGAGGUAGUGACGAAAAAUAACAAUACAGGGACUCAAUUGAGGCCCCGUUAAUUGGAAUGAGUACACUUUAAAUUCCUUUAACGAGGAUCGAUUGGAGGGCAAGUCUGGUGCCAGCAGCCGCGGUAAUUCCAGCUCCAAUAGCGUAUGUUAAAGUUGUUGCAGUUAAAAAGCUCGUAGUUGGAUUUCGGGAUGGGUUGUCCGGUCCGCCGCAAGGUGCGCUACUGGGCGGCUCGUCCUUCUUCGUUCGGACCCCGCGUGCUUUGACUUGAGUGCUCGGGGGACGAGCGACGUUUACUUUGAAAAAAUUAGAGUGUUCAAAGCGGCCUUGGUUGAAUGCAUAGCAUGGAAUAAUAGAAUAGGACUCGGUUCUAUUUUGUUGGUUUCUGGAGCCGGAGUGAUUGAUGAAGAGGGACAGUUGGGGGCAUCGUAUUUCGUUGCAGAGGUGAAAUUCUUGGAUUUGCGAAAGACGAACUAAUGCGAAAGCAUUUGCCAAGAAUGUUUUCAUUAAUCAAGAACGAAAGUUAGAGGCUCGAAGACGAUCAGAUACCGUCCUAGUUCUAACCGUAAACGAUGCCGACUAGGGAUCGGAGGGUGUUGUUUCAUGACCCUUCGGCACCUUGGGGGAAACCAAAGUUUUUGGGUUCCGGGGGAAGUAUGGUUGCAAAUCUGAAACUUAAAGGAAUUGACGGAAGGGCACCACCAGGAGUGGAGCCUCGCUUAAUUUGACUCAACACGGGAAAACUCAACCCGGCCCGGACACUGCAGGAUUGACAGAUUGAGAGCUCUUUCUUGAUUCGGUGGGUGGUGGUGCAUGGCCGUUCUUAGAUGGUGGAGCGACUUGUCUGGUUAAUUCCGAUAACGAACGAGACUCUAGACUGCUAAAUAGUUCGCCGAUAGCAACCUGUUCGGCGCAACUUCUUAGAGGGACAAGUGGCGUUUACGCACAGAAGAAUUUGAGCAAUAACAGGUCUGUGAUGCCCUUAGAUGUUCGGGGCCGCACGCGCGCUACACUGAAGGUAAUCAGCGUGUGUUCCUUCGCCGAUGGCGCGGGUAAUCUUGUGAAAUAUCAUCGUGCUGGGGAUAGGCUGUUGCAAUUUUCGACCUUGAACGAGGAAUUCCUAGUAAGCGCGAGUCAUCAGCUCGCGUUGAUUACGUCCCUGCCCUUUGUACACACCGCCCGUCGCUACUACCGAUUGAACGGUUUAGUGAGGCCUCCCGAUUGGCGCCGGUUCGGUGGGUUUCUUCCGAGCUGGCUUGUCGAGAAGUUGGUCAAACUUGAUCGUUUAGAGGAAGUAAAAGUCGUAACAAGGUUUCCGUAGGUGAACCUGCGGAAGGAUCAUUA